CCAGCUCCAAUAGCGUAUAUUAAAGUUGUUGCAGUUAAAUAGCUCGUAGUUGAAUUUUGGGCUGGGCUGGGUGGUCUCGCCGCAAGGUGUGCACUGCUCUGGUCUGGUCUUUCCUUCUGGGGAACUAGGGUGCUCUUAACUGGGUGCUCUAGGGAUCCAGGACUUUUACUUUGAAAAAAUUAGAGUGUUUAAAGCGGGCAUUUGCUUGAAUACAUUAGCAUGGAAUAAUAGAAUAGGACUUUGGUUCUAUUUUGUUGGUUUCUAGGACCGAAGUAAUGAUUAAUAGGGAUAGUUGGGGGCAUUAGUAUUUAAUUGUCAGAGGUGAAAUUCUUGGAUUUAUGAAAGACUAACUUCUGCGAAAGCAUUUGCCAAGGAUGUUUUCA
rnacentral:rRNA from 1 species